UACAGAGGUCCCAAGCGUUGUUCGGAUUCAUUGGGCGUAAAGGGUGCGUAGGCGGCCAGGUAGGUCAGCUGUGAAAACUCGAGGCUCAACCUCGAGAUGUCGGCUGAAACCAUCUGGCUAGAGUCCGGAAGAGGAGAAUGGAAUUCCCGGUGUAGCGGUGAAAUGCGCAGAUAUCGGGAAGAACACCCGGUGGCGAAGGCGGUUCUCUGGGACGGUACUGACGCUGAGACGCGAAAGCGUGGGGAGCGAACAGG
rnacentral:rRNA from 1 species